UCAUCUACCGUGAGGUGAGGAAUACCGGCGAGAAAUCGCCGACAAAACCGCAUAGCCUCGGCGCGAGUCGAGGAAAGCUCUCGCAAGAGGGUGCCACACGAGGAGCCUGCGCCUGAUUAGCUAGCUGGUGGAGUAACGGUUCACCAGGGCGACGAUCGGUAGCUGGUCUGAGAGGACGAUCAGCCACACUGGGAUUGAGAACGGCCCAG
rnacentral:rRNA from 1 species